AUGCAAGCAGGGGUUUCGACUGUAUGGUUGAAAGUGGGAAAAUAGAUAUUGAAUGGUCUUGGGUUGGGGACCAUCUGCAAGUUAAGUGUGUGUGUGGGGGGGGGGGAUCACUUCUGACUCUGCUGGCUCUAGAUCCAGUGGCCUCUUCCUCUGGGUCAGGCUUUUUGCCUCAUCCCUGUGGCUCUUGUGCUAGGAGCAACACUCUGUCAGGUCUGCUCUGUGCUUUGCAGCUGGACAGUAGUGUGCUGGCCUCUGAAACCUAGAUGCCAAUAGCUUCUGUCCUCCCAUUGUAAAACAUGCAAUGUCUCCAGCAACCGAUAGAUGUCCUGUCUGUGUGUGUGUUUGUGUAUGUCUAUGUGUGUGUGUGUGUGUCUUUGUAUGUGUGUGUCUGUGAGUGUGUCUCUGUGUGUGUUUGUGUAUGUCUGUUUGUGUGUGUGUCUCUGUGUGUCUCUGUGUGUGUGUGUCUUUGUGUGUGUGUGUGACACAGGAGUCUUCGAGGCUGGAGCAUCAUUGCAAUCUCUUCUUUCCCUCUCCCUCCUCCCCUCCCUCUCUGCUGAUGUCCCUGAUCACUGGCUGCUGUCCCUGGUACAGUCUGUGCCUCCCACAUAUUUCUCCCUCUGCCUGGUGGCCUCUCUGUCCCAGACUCAUCAGCUUUGCUUGUGAGGGUGGAUCCUUGCCAGCACUGCUGCCUGAGUCCUCACUGAGCUCAGUAAAUUUUUAUUGAAAGGCUGAGGGACUGUUGCAUAGAGCCCCAGAAGACACACACUAGACCAAAGGAGGUCUCCUUCCCACAUGGGGUUUCCAGAAUAAAAGAUACAGGAGGGGGCCAGCAUUCUGACAUUCAGGGGGUGCUUCCCUCCCACCUAUGGCCAGGCAAGGGGUGGGAUAUAGGGGCAGAUGCUCAGGAACCUGACAGGACAUGACAUGUGGCAGUGUGUUUGUUGCUUGACCACAGGAUGACAUGCCAGCUCAUCACAGGCCAGGAGCCACCAUGUCUUGGCAGAAUGGGCACACAUGUUAAUUCACUUGAGGAUUGGGGGUACCAUGCAGCCCGUGGGAGCCUGGAAGGUGUCGGUAUAGUGUGGGGCACAGUAUAUUGUGCUGGACAAGGAAAGAGGAAGGUGUGGUAUUGUAAAGUACAUUAGUGGAGGGGAAAAAAAUCAGGAUUUGAGGACUUAGGGGUGCAGCGAGGGUUGCUCCAAGAGAGGGGGACAGACAGGAAUCACAAGUUACCAUAGUGGACUCUGUCUCAAAAUAAAAAACAAAUCCCACAAGUGUUCAUAGCAGAGUCACAGCCCCAAAUGUCCAUCAACAAUCCCAAGCCCAUCACAGAAAUUGUAGGUCAUGCCAGACCUAUAAACUGUGGUAUGUCCAUAUUAUGGAAUAUUACUCAGC
rnacentral:lncRNA from 1 species